rnacentral:rRNA from 1 species
AAUCAACGCUGGCGGCGUGCCUCAGACAUGCAAGUCGAACGAGAAAGUUCCCUUCGGGGGAUGAGUAAAGUGGCGCACGGGUGAGUAACACGUAGGUAAUCUACCUUCGGGUGGGGAAUAACCCAGGGAAACUUGGGCUAACACCGCAUAAUGCAGCGGCACCACAUGGUGACAGUUGUUAAAGCGGGGGAUUUUAGGACCUCGCGCCUGGAGAGGAGUCUGCGGCGGAUUAGCUUGUUGGAAGGUAACGGCUUACCAAGGCGACGAUCCGUAACCGGCCUGAGAGGGCGGUCGGUCACACUGACACUGACAUACGGGUCAGACUCCUACGGGAGGCAGCAGUCGGGAAUUUUGGGCAAUGGGCGAAAGCCUGACCCAGCAACGCCGCGUGAA